CCUGCCCAGUGACAAUAUGUUCAACGGCCGCGGUAUCCUGACCGUGCAAAGGUAGCAUAAUCAUUUGCCUUUUAAUUGGAGGCUAGUAUGAAUGGGUAGACGUGGAUUCAACUGUUUCUUUAUUAUAAAUAAAACUUAAACUUUAGGUGAAGAUGCCUAAAUAUUAUAGAAAGACAAGAAGACCCUAUAGAGUUUUCUUUGGUUGGGGCGACCUAGGAUUUUUAUAAACAUCCUUUUAUUAAGAUCCCUAAAUCUCUAUUAUAGACCUAAACGGAUUAUUAGAAUUAACUACCUUAGGGAUAACAGGCUUAUCUUCCUAGAGAGCUCUUAUUGAUAGGAUGGUUUGGCACCUCGAUGUUGGCUUAGAGUAACUUAAUACCGCAGCAGGUAUUGAAAGUCAGUUUGUUCAACUGUUAAUUCUCU
rnacentral:rRNA from 1 species